rnacentral:rRNA from 4 species
UUGACCUCGGAUCAGGUAGGAAUACCCGCUGAACUUAAGCAUAUCAAUAAGCGGGAGGA